rnacentral:rRNA from 1 species
AGCGAACGUUAGCGGCGCGCCUAACACAUGCAAGUCGCACGAGAAAGGGGGCAACCUCCGGAUCAGUGGCGAACGGGUGAGUAACACGGGAGCAAUCUGCCCUGGACUCUGGGAUAAGCGUUGGAAACGACGUCUAAUACCGGAUACGAGACGCGAAGGCAUCUUCAGCGUCUGGAAAGAAUUUCGGUCCAGGAUGAGCCCGCGGCCUAUCAGGUAGUUGGUGAGGUAACGGCUCACCAAGCCUACGACGGGUAGCCGGCCUGAGAGGGUGACCGGCCACACUGGGACUGAGACACGGCCCAGACUCCUACGGGAGGCAGCAGUGGGGAAUAUUGCACAAUGGGCGCAAGCCUGAUGCAGCAACGCCGCGUGAGGGACGACGGCCUUCGGGUUGUAAACCUCUUUUAGCAGGGAAGAAGCGAAAGUGACGGUACCUGCAGAAAAAGCACCGGCUAACUACGUGCCAGCCGCCGCUGUAACAC